UACGGAGGGUGCAAGCGUUGUCCGGAUUUAUUGGGUUUAAAGCGCGUGUAGGCGGAAGGGCACGUCUGGUGCUGAAAUCCCCCGGCUCAACCGGGGAACGGGCACGGAUACGACUCUUCUGGAGGAACGUAGGGGGACCUGGAACUUCCGGUGGAGCGGUGAAAUGCGUUGAGACCGGAAGGAACGCCCGUGGCGAAAGCGAGGUCCUGGACGUUUACUGACGCUGAGACGCGAAAGCCAGGGGAGCGAACGGG
rnacentral:rRNA from 1 species